UCAAACGCAUACUGUGCGAGGAGAUGACUGCGGCAGUCACACCCUGCACGUGAAAGAGAUAACACAGAAGAGUCCUUCCCUGAUGAUAAUAUUACAGCCAUUGCAUUCAUCUCCAUCUCAUCUGUAAGGGUCUUCAUACUGCGGAGAGGAGCAGAAGAACGCUGAGGGUCAAAGUCCUGACUUCAAGGAACGUCUGGGAUCUGCAUUAGGCCCUUGUCCUCCCCCACACUUAUACACACACUGCAGUUCCUGUACCUGGCUGCAGCUGUGGACAUCUUCAAAAUGGAUCCUGGAGGGUCGCAGGGGGGCUGGAGCCUAUCCCCCAGAUUGGGCGAAAGGCAGGAAUACACCCUGGACAGGUCGCCAGUCCAUCGCAGGGCACACACACCAUUCACUCACACACUCAGACCUACAGGCAAUUUUGAC